rnacentral:rRNA from 1 species
UACGUAGGGGCUAGCGUUAUCCGGAAUUACUGGGCGUAAAGGGUGCGUAGGCGGUCUUUCAAGCCAGAGGUGAAAGGCUACGGCUCAACCGUAGUAAGCCUUUGAAACUGGGAAACUUGAGUGCAGGAGAGGAGAGUGGAAUUCCUAGUGUAGCGGUGAAAUGCGUAGAUAUUAGGAGGAACACCAGUUGCGAAGGCGGCUCUCUGGACUGUAACUGACACUGAGGCACGAAAGCGUGGGGAGCAAACAGGAUUAGAUACCCGGGUAGUCCCUGAG